rnacentral:lncRNA from 1 species
AUAAAAUCAGGAAACAUCUGACAGAGAUCACGCAGCGGGCACCCACUAUGGGUUUCAUCAUCGCUCACUUCCCUUGGAUCAACUAGAAAUCAACUCAGAUGAGAGUGCUGAGUCUCAGAGGAUGGACGUCUCACUCCUUGCCAUACAGAUAAGUAGAAAGGGUGGUAUUGAAAUUAAUGGCCAGACUCUAAGUCCCGGGCACUAUACUUGAUGGUCUCCCAACCCUCAAAAUGUUGUGGGUUCUUUUUUGUUUUUGAGACGGAGUCUCAUUCUGUUUCCCAGGCUGGAGUGCAGUGGAGCGAUCUCGGCUCACUGCAACCUCCGCAUCCCAGGUUCAAGCUAUUCUCUUGCCUCAGCCUGCCGAGUAGCUGAGAUUUCAGGCGCCCGCCACUACGCCUGGCUUAUUUUUUUCUCUUUUUAGGAGAGACGGGGUUUCACCGUGUUGGCUAGGCUGGUCUCGAACACCUGACCUUGUGAUUUGCCUGCCUCAGCCUCCCAAAGUGCUGGGAUAACAGGCGUGAGCCACCACGCCCAGCUUCAAAAGUUUUCAACAGAGCUCAGAGGUCUUAACCACAGGCACAUCCGAGGAGCAUUUUUGAAAUGGUUUCCAGCUUCCUCAAUAGGAAUGGAAGCCAAACCCGGAACUGAUGGCUCCUUGGAGGAAGUCGAGAGCUGUAAGGAAAGCCAGGAACAGGGGCAAGGGAGAGAUGCAUCCCGAAUGAUCCUGUGCCAAUUCUUUCUGGAAUCUUUGAUGUGAUCUCCGCUGCCCUUUCCAUACUUGACACAGUGAUUGUGGCACCCACUGGUCUAGCUGUGGUCUACAAGGAACCCCCAAAGGGAAGGGCACAGUGAGCAGGGGCAUCGGCCUGAGUGACAAGGAUUGGAGGGGGCAGGUUGGAUGCAGGGAGAGGACUGGCCAAAUGCCAUGUGUCUGGCUUAGACUACCUUGUUCAAAUUGGGCUUCACCAUUUUUGACUUCGUGAUCUGGUACAAGUUAUAUGAAAAUGUGUUGCUCCUUUUCUAGUCUGUAAAAUCAUAAGGAAAUGUGCACUAAUAACUGGGAGACUAUGCAGAUGAAAUGAAACAAGCUGCAUAGAACACAGAGCUCAGAGCCUGGCCUUUAGGAAGCCCUCAGUAAGGGUUCAUGAUGCCAUGGUGUCUGUCAUCAUCCUCUUUAUCCUCAUCAUCACCUUCAUCAUCUUUUUGUUGUUCUGAGGGCAUACUUUAGAGGGACUCAUUCCCUGCUCUCAUGGGUGAGAUGUCUAUGAAGAGGACAACCAGUGGGGGAGGGAAGCAAAAUUUUGAAGAAGAUUCCUGAGAGAGAUCCCCCACCACAACCAAGAACAGAAACUCCACAGUCUGCUGAGCUGACAGUUUGCACAUUGGUCUCCUCCCAUCUGCCCACGGCACUCUCCCGUUUGUCCUGAAGAUGAGGAAACAAACAAGGCUCCCGACCGUCCCUCAGCACUCACUGAACGGCCCUUCCCCUCUGCUGGGCCAUGACCACGGAGAACAGGUCCACUGUCCUCCCUGAGUGGUGCACAUGGGAGGCUCAGACUCCGUCCUCAAGGCUGGUAAGAAGACAGGGUGAGACAUGAGCCUCCUGAUACAGGUGACGGGUGUGGAGCCCACAGGACUGCAACCUCACACUGCAGGGCUGGAGGCACAGACUGAGUAUUUCCUAUUCUAUGGCCUGGGGGGCUCAAGGCACAGAGCUCCUCAUUAGCCAGAGUCGCCCAUGUUCCCCAUGCUCUAAGGAUUUCCUCAUCAUCAUGCAAGAAGAAGAAUAGAAAAAAGGAAGAGGAAGAAACAAAAGGAACUUCUCUCUUAGAUUUAAUUCUGACCUACCAGGAAGAACUGGAUUGUUGAAGCAGAAGUACUGGAGUCUCUGGAGCUAGUGAGUCAGAGAAUGUCUUUCACAGCAGGGAUUAAAAUGCCCAAUGAAAACCUUUCUGGAAAGGCUCUGAUGUGGGUUCUAAAUGGGUACACAGUUCUCAGAAGGUCAGAGGAAAUUACAGUUUGAUCCCAUAAUCAAAUAAUCUGAAAGAGAAGACAGAAUGAGAGGGAUGGGAGGAUCUCCAAAAUGAAAUCCCGAGAACAAAAGAGUAUGAAUCUUGAUAAGAAGUAAAAGAGUUUGGCUUCAAAAAUACCAGUGUGACUAGCAGAGAGCAAUUUAAUGAGUUUAAUUUGUCAAAGGACUGGGCAAUAAAUGGAAGAAGUUUA